CCCGAUGGAGGGGGAUAACUACUGGAAACGGUAGCUAAUACCGCAUAAUGUCGCAAGACCAAAGAGGGGGACCUUCGGGCCUCUUGCCAUCGGAUGUGCCCAGAUGGGAUUAGCUUGUUGGUGAGGUAACGGCUCACCAAGGCGACGAUCCCUAGCUGGUCUGAGAGGAUGACCAGCCACACUGGAACUGAGACACGGUCCAGACUCCUACGGGAGGCAGCAGUGGGGAAUAUUGCACAAUGGGCGCAAGCCUGAUGCAGCCAUGCCGCGUGUAUGAAGAAGGCCUUCGGGUUGUAAAGUACUUUCAGCGAGGAGGAAGGUGUUGAGGUUAAUAACCUCAGCAAUUGACGUUACUCGCAGAAGAAGCACCGGCUAACUCCGUGCCAGCAGCCGCGGUAAU
rnacentral:rRNA from 1 species